GGCUCCGAGGUGUCAACACACUUGAUUGCAAAUCAAGAGUAGCAGAGUAAAGUUUGCCGGGGCUU
rnacentral:tRNA from 1 species